UACAGAGGUCCCGAGCGUUUGUUCGGAUUCACUGGGCGUAAAGGGUGCGUAGGUGGCAUGUUAAGUUUGAUGUGAAAGCUCAGGGCUUAACCCUGAAAUGGCAUUGAAUACUAGCGUGCUGGAGGUUUGGAGGGGGGACUGGAAUUCUCGGUGUAGCAGUGAAAUGCGUAGAUAUCAAGUGGAACACCAGUGGCGAAGGCGAGUCUCUGGACAUUUCCUGACGUGAGGCACGAAAGCCAGGGGAGCAAACGGGG
rnacentral:rRNA from 1 species